rnacentral:rRNA from 1 species
GAUGAACGCUGGCGGCGUGCCUAAUACAUGCAAGUCGAGCGAAUGGAUUAAGAGCUUGCUCUUAUGAAGUUAGCGGCGGACGGGUGAGUAACACGUGGGUAACCUGCCCAUAAGACUGGGAUAACUCCGGGAAACCGGGGCUAAUACCGGAUAACAUUUUGAACCGCAUGGUUCGAAAUUGAAAGGCGGCUUCGGCUGUCACUUAUGGAUGGACCCGCGUCGCAUUAGCUAGUUGGUGAGGUAACGGCUCACCAAGGCAACGAUGCGUAGCCGACCGGAGAGGGUGAUCGGCCACACUGGGACUGGGAAGCGGCCCAGACUCCUACGGGAGGCAGCAGUAGGGAAUCUUCCGCAAUGGACGAAAGUCUGACGGAGCAACGCCGCGUGAGUGAUGAAGGCUUUCGGGUCGUAAAACUCUGUUGUUAGUGAAGAACAAGUGCUAGUUGAGUAAGCUGGCACCUUGACGGUACCUAACCAGAAAGCCACGGCUAACUACGUGCCAGCAGCCGCCGCCG